rnacentral:rRNA from 1 species
AGGUGGCUGGCGAGUGGCGGACGGGUGAGUAACGCGUAGGAAUCUGCCCUCCAGAGGGGGAUAACCCGGGGAAACUCGGGCUAAUACCGCAUACGUUCUGAGGAGGAAAGGCGGGGGACCUGAGGGCCUCGCGCUGGGGGAUGAGCCUGCGUCCGAUUAGCUAGUUGGUAGGGUAAGGGCCUACCAAGGCGACGAUCGGUAGCUGGUCUGAGAGGACGAUCAGCCACACUGGGACUGAGACACGGCCCAGACUCCUACGGGAGGCAGCAGUGGGGAAUAUUGGACAAUGGGGGCAACCCUGAUCCAGCAAUGCCGCGUGGGUGAAGAAGGCUUUCGGGUUGUAAAGCCCUUUCGGUGGGGAAGAAAGGCCGCGCGUGAAGAGCGGGCGGAGUUGACGUUACCCACAGAAGAAGCACCGGCUAACUCCGUGCCAGCAGCCGCGGUAAUACGGAGGGUGCGAGCGUUAAUCGGAAUUACUGGGCGUAAAGGGCGCGUAGGCGGUUGGGUAAGUCGGGUGUGAAAGCCCUGGGCUUAACCUAGGAAUGGCAUUCGAGACUGCCGGACUGGAGUAUGGUAGAGGGAGGCGGAACUUCCGGUGUAGCGGUGAAAUGCGUAGAUAUCUGAAGGAACACCAGUGG